UUCUCUCUCUCCCCGUGGAAGCACAUGUUCCUUUAUCUCUGUGUUUUCUCUCUUCCACGUAUCUUCUUCUCUCCAUACUCUCUCUUUUUUCGGAUCGAAAAGAAAACCAUCAUCUCUGUGCAACCCAAAGGAAACGAGUUUGGUGCCAUGGAUCUAAUUGAUCAAGAUCUUACUGCCUCAAAUAUGAGUUGCUCAUCUAGAUCGGUCAUACUCUCCGAUCUGACACAAAUCUCGCUGAUCUCAGGUAACCAUGCUCUCAUCUUCGAAGUCAAAUCAUGGGCUGCUUUGAUCUAGAACAUCUGACAGACUAGGAGUAAUACUUAUAUGUUUUCCAUACAUGGAUGCAUUGGUGUGAUCCUCCUGUAGGUUCUAAAUCGUUGAAUCACACCCAGAUCUGAAGUGGUGUAUCCCUUUGUUGGAGGCCUCUAAUCUAAUCUCCUCAUCCAAGUCUAACACGUCCCGCUCUCCGGGAUUUCUUUGGUUGAUGAAGAAGAAGGGUUCCAAAUUCUGACCCUGUUGUACUGGUGGCACAGUCCGUCUUCGCCAAUGCAACAAGCGGAGUUCGUUCCAGCGAUCACACAUCUAUGGAAGCUAAUUCAACUACUUUUUGGACUGAGUAGAUGGGGAAAAACAGGCAAGUACAUGGCAGCUAGCUGAUUGAUUCAUGUAUAGUACAUGCACG
rnacentral:lncRNA from 1 species